rnacentral:rRNA from 1 species
UACGUAGGGGGCGAGCGUUGUCCGGAUUUAUUGGGCGUAAAGAGCUCGUAGGCGGUCUGUUGCGUCUGCUGUGAAAACUCGGGGCUUAACCCCGAGCCUGCAGUGGAUACGGGCAGACUAGAGGUAGGUAGGGGAGAAUGGAAUUCCCGGUGUAGCGGUGAAAUGCGCAGAUAUCGGGAGGAACACCGGUGGCGAAGGCGGUUCUCUGGGCCUUACCUGACGCUGAGGAGCGAAAGCGUGGGGAGCGAACAGG